rnacentral:ncRNA from 1 species
AGAAAGUUUUAUUCUGGCUUCUUUAUUUUCUGUAAUAUUAUUUUACAUGUGAGGUUUACCGUGAUAAUAAUAGGAAUCUUAAUGAAGACUAUUAACAUUAAUCGCAGUAUUUUAUAUUAGAAAUCAAUUUAAGUUGGAAUUAGUAAAUAUUUUAAAUUUUGGUUAAACUUGUGCCAGCCACCGCGGUUAAACAAGAGAGGUAAGAAAAUGAUUUUAGUUUUAGUUAAUAGGUAUUGUAUUAAUCAACUAUAUUUUGUUAGGUGAAAUUUUUAAAUAUAAAGUAAAUAAUAAAGAUUUAUAUAAAGCUAGGAAAAUCAGAUUUUAAACUAGGAUUAGAUACCCUAUUAUUCUGGAAGUUAGUUUUGUUGCUAGAGUAGUAAUAGGUAUGUUCUUGAAACUCAAAGAAUUUGGCGGUGUUUUAGUCUUAUCAGAGGAACUUGCUCCGUAAUCGAUAAUCCUCGUUUUACUUUACUUAAUUAGGUUAACAGCUUGUAUACCGCCGUCAUCAGGAUAUUUCCUAAGAAUAUGUUCAAGAUCUUAAAUUAAAAUAUAUGUCAGGUCAAGGUGCAGCUUAUGAUUAAGUGGAGGUGAGUUACAAUAUAGGAAUAUAAACGGAGUAGACUUUGAAAGUGGUUUAGGAAGGUGGAUUUGGUAGUAAUAUAAUUUAGAAAGAAUGUAUGAUGGUAGCUCUAAAACAUGCACACAUCGCCCGUCGCUCUCAUUUAUUAAGGUGAGAUAAGUCGUAACAUAGUAGAUGUACCGGAAGGUGUAUCUAGAAAGUU